rnacentral:ncRNA from 1 species
CCUAUACAGAUGUAUCAACGCAAGACAGUUGAGCAUCUCCCUGUAGGAACAUGUUUUAAUAGAAGCAUUGACAACAAGUCUUAUUGAGUAGCUUGUGAGUUGAAAUAAGAUGAGUCAAUGUGGAAUAGGUUAGCCGUAAGACCUUUAGUUGAGAAACUAUAAAAUUGACCUAGAAACGAUUUAUGAAUCUUCGUUUUCUAGUUACGUCAAG